rnacentral:rRNA from 1 species
ACAUGCCUACAACAUAAGGUUAAUGAAAUGGAUCCCAUUAGAACUUCGUAGUUAAGCAUGCUCAGGAUAGAGUAGUACUGGGAUGGGUGACUGCCCAAGAAGUCCUAGUGUUUUACAUGCU